UUAUUUAAGAGCCGCGGUAUAUUGACCGUGCAAAGGUAGCAUAAUCAUUAGUUUCUUAAUUGGGAACUUGUAUGAAGGGUUGGACAAAGGAAAAGCUGUCUUUAAGUAUAGAAGUUGAAAUUAACUUUUAAGUGAAAAGGCUUAAAUGCUUCAGAGGGACGAUAAGACCCUAUAAAGCAUUUUAUUGGGGCGAUAUUGGUAUAAUUAUUAACUGCUUGUAUAUAAUACAUUAAUGGAUGAAGUGAUCCUUUAUUUAAGAUUAUAAAACUAAGUUACUUUAGGGAUAACAGCGUAAUUUUUUUUGAGAGUUCAUAUCGAAAAAAAAGUUUGCGACCUCGAUGUUGAAUUAAAAUGUCUAUAUAAUGCAGUAGUUAUAUAAGAAGGUCUGUUCGACCUUUAAUAUUUU
rnacentral:rRNA from 1 species